AUUGAACGCUGGCGGCAGGCCUAACACAUGCAAGUCGAGCGAGCGGCGGACGGGUGGGUAAGGUAUGAGGAUCUGCGCGAUAGAGGGAGAAAACGACUGGAAACGGUGGCUAAUACCGCAAACGAUCGGAUGGAGCGAGGUGGGAUUAGCUAGUAGGGGGGGUAAAGGCUCACCUAGGCGACGAUCCCUAGCUGGUCUGAGAGGAUGAUCAGCCACACUGGGACUGAGACACGGCCCAGACGCCUACGGGAGGCAGCAGUGGGGAAUAGUCCACAAUGGGCGCAAGUCUGAUGCAGCCAUGCCGCGUGUAUGAAGAAGGCUUUAGGGUUGUAAAGUACUUUCAGCGGGGAGGCGUUACCCGCAGAAGAAGCACCGGCUAACUCCGUGCCAGCAGCCGCGGUAAUUC
rnacentral:rRNA from 1 species